CCUACGGGUGGCAGCAGUGGGGAAUAUUGCACAAUGGGGGAAACCCUGAUGCAGCGACGCCGCGUGAGUGAAGAAGUAAUUCGUUACGUAAAGCUCUAUCAGUAGGGAAGAAAUACUGACCUUACGGUCAGCAGACGGUACCUGAGUAAGAAGCCCAGGCUAACUACGGGCCAGCAGCCGCGGUAAUACGGAGGGGGCAAGCGUUAUCCGGAUUUACUGGGUGUAAAGGGAGCGUAGACGGUGCGCCAAGACUGGAGUGAAAUGCCGCAGCUUAACUGCGGAACUGCUGUGGAAACUGGCGAACUAGAGUGCGGGAGGGGUAGGCGGAAUUCGUAGUGUAGCGGUGAAAUGCGUAGAUAUUAGGAGGAACACCGGUGGCGAAGGCAGCUUACUGGACCGUAACUGACGUUGAGGCUCGAAAGCGUGGGGAGCAAACAGGAUUAGAUACCCUAGUAGUC
rnacentral:rRNA from 1 species